CCACAUGAUUCUUCAGAGUCCGAGGGCUGGGCGGUUCAAGACAUGGUGGUGGGGAUCGUAGAGGCAGAAUGUGUUGGCUACAUCUUGUGGUUGUCAGGAGUGGGCUCCAUGCAAGGACAGGAGCUGACAGUGGGGUGGCAUUGUCUGUUCCUCUAUUAAAGGAAGCUCAUUCUAGCCAUACAUACUGGAGCCUGGAAGGGCAGAGUCAUCCACCUUUGAUAUUUACAUUUGAUCCACAUUUGAUAUUUACACCCUGAUUAAAACCCGCGAGGUACUGGGGGUGGGAAGGGAGAGUGUGGGAGAAAUUGAAGGAGUUUUAAGCUAAGAGUUUGGGGAAUGUGAUCUCCUGAAGCAAACCCAUUCAAACAUCCAAGUCUGUUGUUUACUGUUCUAAUCUCAAGGCUGAAGGAUCCAGGAAAGACUGGGGAAGAUGAGGCUGACUCAAAAGGGAUGGUUCUAAAGUUACUGCCGUUGCUUUAGUCCCAGAAGUGAAACUGGCAAGUUAGACAUUUUGAUUCCAGAAGGAUGGUAGCUCCGUGUUCCUGAAGUUCCAGGUCCUGGGGAAACAGACCAGGAAGCUGCAGGCUGGGAAGAAGCUUGAAGAUCAUUAUGGCUGGGGCAGUUUCAAGAAGUUGUUACUUUUGUGUUACAUAACACUGUUGCUUUGUGUGAUAAUGACGCUGAUCCUUAUCUGGCAGAGGUACGCCUGGAAGCAUGAUGGCUGGAUUUACUUUAACUUUUUAAAACAGGUUCACAGGCAAGGAGAGCUGUGAUGCUGGGACGAGCCAGCGGCUGACAGGGUUCACUCUACCCAUUUGUAUGUUUGCUAAUGAAAGAAAAAUAAGAAAUAAAAAGUUUGAAACGACUCCAGUGUUUGCUGGCUGCAUCCAUCAUUAUCCUUACUCUAAGGAAUAAAGACUUUCAUGUCUCACAGC
rnacentral:lncRNA from 1 species